UACGUAGGGGGCAAGCGUUGUCCGGAUUUAUUGGGCGUAAAGAGCGUGUAGGCGGCCAGGUAGGUCAGCUGUGAAAACUCGAGGCUUAACCUCGAGACGCCGGCUGAAACCCUCUGGCUAGAGUCCGGAAGAGGAGAGCGGAAUUCCUGGUGUAGCGGUGAAAUGCGCAGAUAUCAGGAAGAACACCAAUGGCGAAGGCAGCUCUCUGGGACGGUACUGACGCUGAGACGCGAAAGCGUGGGGAGCGAACAGG
rnacentral:rRNA from 1 species